CCCAACUCGAAAAAAAACUUCACGCUCUUAGCAUCAGCGUGGGCUGGGUUGUGUGAAGUCAAACCAUUUCCUUCGACAUCCUUGACGGAACCCUAGUUUUCAACGGCCAUCACUGCGGAGGCGCCGCCCCGCUGGUAACUUCUUACAACACAAAGCCCACGAAAACUGUCAAGGUAUUUAAUUUUAACCCACGAAAACUGUCAAGGUAUUUAAUUUUACAUGUAGCUCAAAAAUCGACAGUUCACUUUUCGUUUGCCUUUCCUGGAUCAUAUUUGCAUAAACUAGCAAUGACCAAUUUGCAGAGACUUAGGAAUCUCUCUAUUAUCAAAUGUAUUACUUUUUUUUGCUCUGAAAAUAAGUUGAGAUUAUCAAAAUCCAAUUUUUAUGUAGCCGGGUCAUACCCCAUUGUAGAGAACCUCAGGUUUUAUGGAACCAGUAACGUUGUUAGAUCACAGAAGGGUAAAAUUAUUGAUAAUACGUUGCAAAUACCGCGUGCAGUUAGGCAAGAAGCCCAAGCUGCUUUAUUAGAUUAUUUGCAUUCCACCAGGAGUUUGCAGUUCAUGGAUGCCGAGAAUAUGAGUAGAAAUUCACCAUAUUUUCUUGGAAAGUUGUUAAAAAGACUUGACAACGGUGAAACAGACGUUGGGCGGUCUGUAACGCGGUUGUUGAGGUACCAUCCCAUUAAUGAGUUUGAGCCAUUCUUUGAAAGCAUAGGUUUGAAACCUUCAGAGUAUUCUCCGUUUCUUCCGCAGAAUUUGAUGUUCUUGAAUGAUGAUCAAGUGCUGUUGAAGAACUACUAUGUUUUGUGCAAUUAUGGCAUAGAACGAAAUAAAGUAGGAAAAAUAUAUAAGGAAGCACCAGAAGUAUUUAAGUAUGAUUGUGGGGUUUUGCAAUCAAAGCUACAAUCUUUUGAAAAAUUAGGGUUAAGUCAGUCUCUUAUUAUUAAGGUUAUUGCUUCAUGUCCUUAUCUUUUGCGUGGAGAUAUGAGCUGGGAAUUCAUUGAGGUUCUGAGAAAGUUGAAGAAUACAGGGAUUGAAUAUAACUGGCUGGAGGAGCAUAUGUUUGAAGGCAAUUCUUACAGUUGGAACCGUAUGCUUGAGCUUUUAUGCAUGUUAAGUGAUAUGGGCUGCAGUGAGGAGCAAUUAGGAGGAUUCAUUUCUCGGCAUCCGGAACUUUUGCUUGAGAGAUCAGGACACUUGACCUAUUUUUUGAUUGGGUUCUUGCUGAAAUUCGGAUACACACGGAAUGAGUUAAGUACUAUGUUUCUGCAGCUCCCCAAAAUAUCAGCUGAAAACUUCGCUACUAAUUUGUUGCACUCCUAUCAUUUUCUGGUUGAAAUUGAAAUGACUGUUCAAGAUAUUGGGAGAAUUGUUCAUUCCCAUCCUGUACUACUGGGUUCAUGUUAUCUCAAGAAAGUUAAUAGCUUAUUGGCUAACUUGAACACUGGAAAGAAACGGCUCUGUCAAAUGAUCAUGGAAGACCCCAACGUGUUAAAGAAUUGGGUCCUUGGAGUGCGAGUCAAACGGUUGCUGCCAGAUACAAACAAGACCAUAAGAGCGCGAAUGAUGAAAACUGAGUUCUUGUUAAGCCUGGGAUUUAUGGAGAAGUCAAAUGAAAUGGAACGAGCUCUCAAAGUGUUUCGAGGCAAAGGUAUUGAACUUCAAGAGAGAUUUGAUUGUUUAGUAAAUGCUGGUUUGAAACGUGAGGAAGUCAUAAAGAUGCUGAAAUCCUCUCCUCACAUUCUUAACCAAUCCAAGGAUGUAAUUGAAUCGAAAAUUGAUUAUCUUGUAAAUGAAUUGGGCUACCCAGUGUCCUCUUUGAUACCUUUUCCAUCAUAUAUCUCUUAUACAAUUGAUAGGGUGAAGCUUAGACUUUCAUUGUACAAAUGGCUGGUAGAUGAAAAAGCAGCAGAUAAAAAUUUGGCCUUGAGCACUCUCUUAGCAUGCUCAGAGAAAAAAUUUGAUAGGACUUAUGUAAAUUGCCAUCCUAGAGGACCUGAAGUCUGGGAAAAAUUGAGAAAAGAAAUGUAAUUGAAACAGAAUGAACACUUAUUGUCUCCUAGAUAUGUUUAAUGGAGUUGUUACAUUUCUAUCGAAGCUUGCAACUGAAGAAGUUAUUACUUAAGUUAAAAAGUGUGGUUUCAGUUGAGCUCCUUUCUUCUUUUACACGUUAACCAGCAUACUAUGGGAAAAGCAGAGACUCUCUAGUACCAGGUUUCUGAUCAAAAUACCUCCGGCUUGCUUGUUGAACUAUGUCUUGUUGACACUACUGCUGGGAGAUCAAGAACUCUUUUACGAAAUUGUUUCUGUGCAAGCCACUGCAACAAGGAUGCUCCCGAAUCCUGGAAAGCGAUAAUGUUAUGGCUGUAAAAAAGAUAAACCAGUCGCGUCUUCUAUAGGCACGAAAAGUACCAAGAUGAAAUAUCCUCUGUGAAUUUGCACGUCAAAGUCAUUGCUACUCGUGCUCGAGGGUAUUGGCACUUGUAAACUAAAAGUGUACUUGAGUGGCAAAAAAGAAAUCACGUAAAUGUGGGAAUAAUGCUUUUCUAUUUUGUUGUAAUUGUUUGAGACACGUGCCACAUGAAUGCUUCAUCUCCUCUAUUUUUCAUUUA